rnacentral:lncRNA from 1 species
UGAGAGGUACUCGUUACUCUAUGGGGUUAACAGGAGUUUCUCUUGAGAGGAAAGGUAUAGAUACUUUUCACUUGUUCUGUCAAGAGCACAGUAGUAUAGCAUCAGUAGAGAGGGUACAUCAAGGGACCCUAGUUGGUCUUUUGAUGCAGUCAGAGGGGGACUGGACCCUAGAGGAUGUCAGUGGUCAGAGAGGAGUUAAUAGCAGAGUUAGAGAUUCAGAGCAGAAGUUAAGAGAUAAGAGGUUCAGAGAAGAGUUAGUAUAAAAAGUUAAGAAC